rnacentral:rRNA from 1 species
ACGCUCGACAGUGUCAGCCGCCGCGGUAAUACGAAGGGGGCUAGCGUUGCUCGGAAUCACUGGGCGUAAAGGGCGCGUAGGCGGCGCCGCAAGUCGGGCGUGAAAUCCCCGGGCUCAACCCGGGGGCUGCGCCCGAGACUGCGGUGCUCGAGGACGGGAGAGGCUCGCGGAAUUCCCAGUGUAGAGGUGAAAUUCGUAGAUAUUGGGAAGAACACCGGUGGCGAAGGCGGCGAGCUGGCCCGUUUCUGACGCUGAGGCGCGACAGCGUGGGGAGCAAACAGGAUUAGAUACCCCUGGUAGUCCACGCCGUAAACGAUGUGCGCUGGGUGUUGGGGGGCCUAGCCCCUCAGUGCCGCAGCCAACGCGGUAAGCGCACGCCUGGGGAGUACGGCCGCAAGGUUGAAACUUAAAGGAAUUGGCGGG